GACGAACGCUGGCGGCGUGCUUAACACAUGCAAGUCGAACGGAAAGGCCCUGCUUUUGUGGGGUGCUCGAGUGGCGAACGGGUGAGUAACACGUGAGUAACCUGCCCUUGACUUUGGGAUAACUUCAGGAAACUGGGGCUAAUACCAGAUAGGAGCUCCUGCUGCAUGGUGGGGGUUGGAAAGUUUCGGCGGUUGGGGAUGGACUCGCGGCUUAUCAGCUUGUUGGUGGGGUAGUGGCUUACCAAGGCUUUGACGGGUAGCCGGCCUGAGAGGGUGACCGGCCACAUUGGGACUGAGAUACGGCCCAGACUCCUACGGGAGGCAGCGGUGGAGAAUAUUGCACAAUGGGCGGAAGCCUGAUGCAGCAACGCCGCGUGCGGGAUGACGGCCUUCGGGUUGUGAACCGCUUUCGCCUGUGACGAAGCGUGAGUGACGGUAAUGGGUAAAGAAGCACCGGCUAACUACGUG
rnacentral:rRNA from 1 species